AGGGUUAUAAUUUAUAAAAAAAUAUUUGAUUUGCAUUCAAAAAAUAUUGAAAUUCAAUUUACCUUA
rnacentral:tRNA from 1 species